GGAGGCUACCCGUACGGCGCUCAGCAGAUCAGCCUCGGUGCUGAAGGUGCCAAAACCGCCAGCAAAUAUGGAGCUGCUGCGGGAUAUGGAGCUCCAACAGGUUUUGGUGCACAGCUCGGAGCGACUCAAGAUGCCC